rnacentral:sRNA from 1 species
AGUCCCAACGCAGUUGUGAUUCUCUAUGAUCCCAUGCAGACCACCAA